AGAGUUUGAUCCUGGCUCAGGACGAACGCUGGCGGCGCGCCUAACACAUGCAAGUCGAACGGAGUUGUGUUGAAAGCUUGCUGGAUAUACAACUUAGUGGCGGACGGGUGAGUAACACGUGAGUAACCUGCCUCUCAGAGUGGAAUAACGUUUGGAAACGAACGCUAAUACCGCAUAACGUGAGAAGAGGGCAUCCUCUUUUUACCAAAGAUUUAUCGCUGAGAGAUGGGCUCGCGGCCGAUUAGGUAGUUGGUGAGAUAACAGCCCACCAAGCCGACGAUCGGUAGCCGGACUGAGAGGUUGAUCGGCCACAUUGGGACUGAGACACGGCCCAGACUCCUACGGGAGGCAGCAGUGGGGGAUAUUGCACAAUGGGGGAAACCCUGAUGCAGCGACGCCGCGUGAGGGAAGACGGUUUUCGGAUUGUAAACCUCUGUCUUUAGGGACGAAAAAAUGACGGUACCUAAGGAGGAAGCCACGGCUAACUACGUGCCAGCAGCCGCGGUAAUACGUAGGUGGCAAGCGUUGUCCGGAAUUACUGGGUGUAAAGGGAGCGUAGGCGGGGAGACAAGUUGAAUGUCUAAACUAUCGGCUUAACUGAUAGUCGCGUUCAAAACUAUCACUCUUGAGUGCAGUAGAGGUAGGCGGAAUUCCUAGUGUAGCGGUGAAAUGCGUAGAUAUUAGGAGGAACACCAGUGGCGAAGGCGGCCUACUGGGCUGUAACUGACGCUGAGGCUCGAAAGCGUGGGUAGCAAACAGGAUUAGAUACCCUGGUAGUCCACGCCGUAAACG
rnacentral:rRNA from 1 species